GACGAACGCUGGCGGCGUGCUUAACACAUGCAAGUCGAACGGAAAGGCCCUGCUUUUGUGGGGUGCUCGAGUGGCGAACGGGUGAGUAACACGUGAGUAACCUGCCCUUGACUUUGGGAUAACUUCAGGAAACUGGGGCUAAUACCGGAUAGGAGCUCCUGCUGCAUGGUGGGGGUUGGAAAGUUUCGGCGGUUGGGGAUGGACUCGCGGCUUAUCAGCUUGUUGGUGGGGUAGUGGCUUACCAAGGCUUUGACGGGCAGCCGGCCUGAGAGGGUGACCGGCCACAUGGGGACUGAGAUACGGCCCAGACUCCUACGGGAGGCAGCAGUGGGGAAUAUUGCACAAUGGGCGGAAGCCUGAUGCAGCAACGCCGCGUGCGGGAUGACGGCCUUCGAGUUGUAAACCGCUUUCGCCUGUGACGAAGCGUGAGUGACGGUAAUGGGUAAAGAAGCACCGGCUAACUACGUG
rnacentral:rRNA from 1 species